AGUAAUUUGGCAGACCAAUGCGCAUGGUUUAGGUGCAUGUUAUAACAAAUGUUAGUUACUA
rnacentral:tRNA from 1 species